AUGUCGUUGUCAAAAUUUUCCUCUGUCUCGGAGGCCAUGGCCUUUCGGGCAAAGGCAAAUCAGGUUCUUCGAGUUGUGGGUUAUGCAUCUGUAGCCUACUUUUUAUUCCAGACGGUCCCAUCGUUCGUAAGCGCCUCCAAAACGGACAGCAAGCGUAAGAAACUAAUGUCACAGUUUCUGAUGAGAAACAGAGGCGAAGACUUUAAUUGAAGGGUUCCCUAUCUAAUUUAGUUUAGAGUAGCGUCCUUACGGGUGCAUGUAACGUAAUAGCAAUGGGUGUCGUGUGUUAGGAUAUGGCCGUCUCUUCAAGACCUUGCUAUGUAUUUAUCUACGUCUAUAUAUGCGGGUGUUUUUGCUACGUCUAAAUGUGGAUCAUUGUCAUCUUUUGCAUGCCUUAGUGUCUCUGUGUUUUGAGACUCAAAAAUUAGUCAUUCUCAUUCAGUCGUUCUCAUUAAA